CAGAGGUAGAGCAUUGGACUACAGACCAAGAGGAAGGGAGUGGCAAGGCAAAUCAUGUGCUGGCCGUUAAUGCUUUGACACAAAAGUGACACAAGUGAUAUUCAUAUUUCUUUCUUAUUUAUUAUUUUUAAAUAGACUUUACUUUUUAGAGCAAUUUCAGGUUUAUAGAAAAAUUAUGCAGAAAGUAGAGUUUCCAGGUAUGCACUCCUUCCCCUUCCCCACACUCCUCCUCUGCCCCUCCACCCCCUUGCCCAGAGUUCUCUCUCAUUAACAUAUUUUGAGACAGGGUCUCUCUCUGUUGCCCAAGCAUGAUUUCUGCUCAUUGCAGCUUUGUGCAGCCUUGACCUCCUGAGCUCAAGUGAUCCUUCCACCUUAGCCUCCCCAGUAGCUGGGACUACAGGCACACAGAGUCACACUGAGCUAAAAUUUUUUUGUAUUUUUUUUUAGAGAUGGGGUUUUGCCAUGUUGCUCAGGCUGGUCUUGAACUCCUGAGCUCAAGUGAUCCACUCACUUCAGCCUCGCAAAGUGCUGGGAUUACAUGCAUGAGCCGCUGCGCUUGGCUCUCUUCCAUGUCUUUUUGUGGCUUUCUUUCUUUCCUUUUUUUUUUUUUUUUUAUCACUGGAUAAUAUUCCACUGUAUGGAUGUACCACAGUAUUGCUCUCAAUCAUAUUCUAUUGACCAAAGUAAGCCACAUGGCAACCCUGACUUCAAGGGAGGGAAGGGUUAUCCAAUCAUAUAAUUGGAAGAAGAAAAAGUAGAACUAUUUUGUGAGCAGCACUAAUUAACCCUUUUGCUUCCAUGUCUUGAAUGAAGUAACAAUGUUAUGCUCACAGUCAAAUCUUUUUCAGGGUAAGUGAGAGAGUUUCAAUUUAACGACAACUUGGACCCCCAAUUUUUGCUAUGAAGAAAGUAAUAAAAGGAGCCAGAACACUCCUCAUAUAUUACAAAAAAAUCUCAAUAUGAUCUCAAAGCUUGGCUGCAGGCUGCUCACAGAUCCUCUGUGUCCUCCCUGAAUACCAUGUAAGUGACAGCGUCUUUGGAGUCCUAAAGGGGCCACACCUUUGUCAGAAGCCAUAUGCACUUGUUAAACUGAACUAAAUAUGGCCUGAGAAGGACGCCAUACUUCUAAAUUUGAGUCCAUGAGGACAAACUGUAACCUAACUUUAUAGUCAGAUAGGAUUGAAAACCUGACUUAAGAGUAUGUGCCUGUAACAAUAGCUGAGGUCUGGCCAAUCACAGCAGCCAUACGUCAACCACUCAUACACUGCUGAGUGUUCAGAUUUGUUCAAAAAAGGCAAAUGUUGAGCUGUAAUCAGUCCAGCUGUUUCUGUACCUCACUUCUGAUUUCUGCACGUCACUUCCCUUUUGUUGUCUAUAAAUUUGUUCUGACCAUAAGGCAUCCCUGGACUCUCUCUGAAUCUGUUGUGAUUCUGGAGGCUGCCCAAUUUAUGAAUUUUUUUUUCUUGCUCAGUUAAACUCUGUUAAAUUUAAUUUGUCUGAAGUUUCCUUUUAACACAGUAUAGCCUCAGAAUAUUGCUCAAUAUUGUCCUGGACGUAGACAGAAGUGAUAACAAAUCAGGUAAAGGCCAGUCCAGAAAACAGACACCCAUCAGUUUUCCUAAUAAAGAAUACUUAAUAUAAGGAAUUGAAGCACUGAAAGUGAGGAGGAGGACCACUGGAGGGUCACGGAGCUAGCAACUGCAGGAAGCAAUCGCUACCCCUAGGGCUGAGAGAACAAAAGGGAUGCGUCAGGUGCCUGGGAUCUGGAAGCUUGGAGGAGGGCCCUGCAGAGCUGGAAACUGGACCAGGAGGGAGGGGUGCUGCCUGGUGGAGGCAGGUGCGUUGGAGACUCAGAGCAGGGACCCUCAAAACAGGGACUCAAUAUCUGGGGAGGAGGUUCUGGUUGACAGACGCUAUCACUGAGGGAGUGUGUUCUUGUAGUGAGGAAAAUAACUGCAAACUGGAGCUAAGGGCUGCUGGGAUGAUACUGACAGGACCAGCAAAAAAACAGAAGGAACAAAUCCCUUCUUCCCCACUGCCUCCAGACUCCCUCUAGUGCCCCACUACUGGCAGCCUAAGAGAAAUCCCUCUGGCAAAGCUGAAAUGUGAUUACAGAGGCCCAGCCCCAGCAACACAAAGCUGAGAAUGAAGGGUGAGUGUGGAGUUUACAGGCAACAGCUUAAUAAUCAACACAGACACUAAACAAAUAUUUGGUCCCUGUCUCUUAUGCUAAUAUUUGCUCAUUACAGCUAAAAGACUCUGAGGAAGGCCGAGGUCAGAGAAGGCGUAAGAUCUGCUAUUGACAUGUCCUGAAAGCCUUCCUUUUUGGUAACUGUCAGCUAAAAGAAUCAUCCCGGCAGUAUCAUCUGGAAACUCGUCCAGCUUGUUUUUUGGCCACCACUCAAUAAGAACUUAGUUUGAGUUCCUUGCUCUUGCUUUAAGUAGCUUUUAGAGUUCUUUGAGACAUUUGUACUUGAGAUAGAGAAAAGAACAGCUCCAUGACAAUCUUGGCUUCCCCAGGGUAUUUGAAGGGGCUUACUGUCCAUUCCCAGUUCUGAAUCACCAAAUUCCACUAAAUAGCCAAGGUACUCACCAACCGUUCUUCCUUAAUCUUUGCAGUCCUUCCUGUUCCCAUUUCUUAUUUUUAUGUAUUUCUGUCCUUUCUUUUCCCUGUUUUAAAAUCCUUCCCCUUCUUCUUUUCUGCCAUUCCACUGCUUUUCCUGAUAACCCUCACUCUUCCCGGGGGACAGCACAGUGUGCUUGAAAGAGCAUGACUCCUGCACAAGAAGGGCCUAGGGUUAAAUCCUAAUUCUAAUGUUUACUUGCUUUAUGAUCUUGAGCAAGUAAUUUUUCAUUUUCAGUUUUUUAAAAUGGAAAUAAUUGCUAGGAUACGUGUACUUUGUAAGAAGAAAAUGAGAGAAUGUAUAUGUAGUGCCUGAUAGAUAAUAGGUGCUUGUUAAAUAUUUGCUUCCAUCUCUCUUUUUGUUGUUGUUAUCAAAUGCACCCUUAGGUACACCUAUUGAAAACCAACUUAAGACUUCCUUAUGUCUGCUGCAGAGCCCUGCGCUAGGCGCCUAUCUUAGACCCAGCCUGAAUUCUUCUCCUAAAGUACCGAAUUGUUUAUUUAAUCUGGCCAUAUUUUAUUUAACUCACUUUCUCUGUCUUAAUUAUUUGGAAACUGGUGAGGCUCAAAAUUCAGUCUGUGGCAGCCAGAAUUACUAAGCUGGUGUAUUUUGACUAAAACAGGGGAAAGUUUGCAGCAUAAGGGAAAGAAAAGACAGACUAGGUUUGGAUUACUCUGACUGGAAUCAGUGGGAGAUGGAAGGUUCAAGUCCUAAACUGGCAUUCCCUCACACUUCAUGCCAGGACCAGCCAUCAGAUACCACUCAUCGUCAUGUGCAGACUGGCCCUAGAGCUGGAAAAUGGCCACCGAGGUCACGAGAGGGUGGAAAUAAUAUUUCACUCUGUCUCAGUGUUACGACACCUUGCUGGUUAUUUACCUUCCAGUCCUUUGGAACCCUUAACUAGAAGUAGUUGCAAAGUCAGCCAGCCAGCGAGCUAAGUACUGAGCCAAGCAUCACUGAAGAAUUUUUGUGGAAAACAUGUACAGUUGCCUCAGUAAAAGGAAUGUGUGG
rnacentral:lncRNA from 1 species